CGAGCGAGAGCGUCCAAGUCGGCCCCCGAAAGAUGGUGAAAUAUGCCUGAGGAGGUUGAAGCCAGAGGAAACUCUGGUGGAGGACCGUAGCGAUUCUGACGUGCAAAUCGAUCGUCAAAUUUGGGUAUAGGGGGGAAAGACUAAUCGAACCGUCUAGUAGCUGGUUCCCUUCGAAGUUUCCCUCACGAUAGCUGGCGCUCUGUCGCAGUUUUAUCUGGUAAAGCGAAUGAUUAGAGGUCUUGGGGGCGAAACGCCCUCAACCUAUUCUCAAACUUUAAAUUGGUAAGAAGCCCGACUCGCUCGUUUGGAGCCGGGCAUGGAAUGCGAGUGCCAAGUGGGCCACUCUUGGUAAGCAGGACUGGCGAUGCGGGAUGAACCGAACGCCGGGUUAAGGCGCCCGACGCGACGCUCAUCAGAGCCCACAAAAGGUGUUGGUUGAUAUAGACAGCAGGACGGUGGCCAUGGAAGUCGGAAACCGCUAAGGAGUGUGUAACAACUCACCUGCCGAAUCAAUCAGCCCUGAAAAUGGAUGGCGCUGGAGCGUCGGGCCUAU
rnacentral:ncRNA from 1 species